UUUCUCACAGGCUCCAGAGCCAGCCCUGGUGGUCUAGUGGUUAAGAUUCGGGGCUCUCACCACCAAGGUCCAGGUUCCUUUCUAGUCAGGGAACCACA